AUAUAUCAACCUCCUCAGGUUUUUACUUGUCGAGUGUUUGGAUGUGGGGGUAUCUUUUGCUGGUCUCUUUUGAGGUCGGCUCCCCUGAAAUGCAUUAGCGGAACAAUUUGUUGACCGUUCAUUGGUGUGAUAACUAUCUACGCUAUUGACGUGAAGCAGGUUCAGCUUCUAACAGUCCAUUGACUUGGACAAAUUUUCAUUA
rnacentral:misc_RNA from 1 species